ensembl:lncRNA
CGUUGUUGUUCUUGACCUGUCACCUAGAUUUCUGCCCGAUGUUUCUGUCUCUGUGGAGGUUCUUUCCGUUCUUUUCGUUGCUGUUCUUGACCUGUCACCUAGUUCUCUGCCGUAUGUUUCUGUCUCUGUGGAGGUUCUUUCCGUUCUUUCCGUUGCUGUUCUUGACCUGUCACCUAGUUCUCUGCCGUAUGUUUCUGUCUCUGUGGAGGUUGUUUCCGUUCUUUCCGUUGUUGUUUUUCAACUGUCACCUAGUUUUCUGCCCGAUGUUUCUGUCUCUGUGGAGGUUCUUUCCGUUCUUUCCGUUCUUUCCGUUGUUGUUCUUGACCUGUCACCUAGUUCUCUGCCGUAUGUUUCUGUCUCUGUGGAGGUUCUUUCCGUUCUUUCCGUUGUUGUUUUUCAACUGUCACCUAAUUUUCUGCCCUAUGUUUCUGUCUCUGUGGAGGUUCUAUCCGUGCUUUCCGUUGUUGUUUUUCAACUGUCACCUAGUUCUCUGCCGUAUGUUUCUGUCUCUGUGGAGGUUCUUUCCGUUCUUUCAGUUGUUGUUUUUCAACUGUCACCUAAUUUUCUGCCCUGUGUUUCUGUCUCUGUGGAGGUUCUAUCCGUUCUUUCCGUUCUUUCCGUUCUUUCCGUUCUUUCUGUUGUUGUUUUUGAACUGUCACCAAAUUUUCUGCCCUAUGUUUCUGUCUCUGUGGAGGUUCUUUCCGUUCUUUCCGUUCUUUCCGUUCUUUCUGUUGUUGUUUUUGAACUGUCACCUAAUUUUCUGCCCUAUGUUUCUGUCUCUGUGGAGGUUCUUUCCGUUCUUUCCGUUCUUUCUGUUGUAGUUUUUGAACUGUCACCUAAUUUUCUGCCCUAUGUUUCUGUCUCUGUGGAGGUUCUUUCCGUUCUUUCCGUUGUUUCCGUUGUUGGUCUUGACCUGUCACCUAAUUUUCUGCCCUAUGUUUCUGUCUCUGUGGAGGUUCUUUCCGUUCUUUCCGUUCUUUCCUUUGUUUUUUUUGAACUGUCACCCACUUUUCUGCUCUAUGUUUCUGUCUCUGUGGAGGUACUUUCCGUUCUUUCCGUUCUUUCCGUUCUUUCCAUUCUUUCCGUUGUUGGUCUUGACCUGUCACCUAAUUUUCUGCCCUAUGUUUCUGUCUCUGUGGAGGUUCUUUCCGUUCUUUCCUUUCUUUCCGUUGUUUCCGUUGUUGGUCAUGACCUUUCACCUAAUUUUCUGCCCUAUGUUUCUGUCUCUGUGGAGGUUCUUUCCGUUCUUUCCGUUCUUUCUGUUGUUGUUUUUGAACUGUCACCUAAUUUUCUGCCCUAUGUUUCUGUCUCUGUGGAGGUUCUUUCCGUUCUUUCUGUUGUUGGUCAUGACCUGUCACCUAGUUUUCUGCCAUAUGUUUCUGUCUCUGUGGAGGUUUUUCCGUUCUUUCCGUUCUUUCCGUUGUUGUUUUUGAACUGUCACCUAAUUUUCUGCCCUAUGUUUCUGUCUCAGUGGAGGUUCUUUCCGUUCUUUCCGUUCUUUUUGUUGUUUUUGAACUAUCACCUAAUUUUCUGCCCUAUGUUUCUGUCUCUGUGGAUGUUCUUUCCGUUCUGUCCGUUCUUUCCGUUCUUUCUGUUGUUGUUUUUGAACUGUCACCUAAUUUUCUGCCCUAUGUUUCUGUCUCUGUGGAGGUCCUUUCCGUUCUUUCCGUUCUUUCUGUUGUUGGUCUUGAACUGUCACCUAAUUUUCUGCCCUAUGUUUCUGUCUCUGUGGAGGUUCUUUCCGUUCUUUCGUUCUUUCCGUUCUUUCCGUUCUUUUUGUUGUUUUGAACUGUCACCUAAUUUCUGCCCUAUGUUUCUGUCUCUGUGGAGGUUCUUUCCGUUCUUUCCGUUCUUUCCGUUCUUUUUGUUGUUUUUGAACUGUCACCUAAUUUUCUGCCCUGUGUUUCUGCCUCUGUGGAGGUUCUUUCUGUUCUUUCCGUUGUUUCCGUUGUUGGUCUUGACCUGUCACCUAAUUUUCUGCUCUAUGUUUCUGUCUCUGUGGAGGUUCUUUCCGUUCUUUCCGUUCUUUCUGUUGUUGUUUUUGAACUGUCACCUAAUUUUCUGCCCAAUGUUUCUGUCUCUGUAGAGGUUCUUUCCUUUCUUUCCGUUCUUUC